GUUCCGAGAGUGGGAGCUUGCCCUUUUGUCCUUGAACUGGCUUCACCCAAGAGCUCAGCGCUUCCUUGUGAAUUGAAAACGGCAAUUCUUUAUUCAGUGCACUGCAAAUGACUGGCAAUUUCUAGCAGACACCUUCCCUUACUUGGUUGGGGCAGAUGGUGACAAUAGCCCCAGCUC